rfam:Myotis davidii contig162917, whole genome shotgun sequence.
GGCAGUUCUCAGGUGAUGUACCCUGGAAUCAGGCUCCCUCCUCUCUGGUUCCAGGUGCAUCACCCAAGAACCACA